rnacentral:tmRNA from 1 species
GGGGCCGACUGGUUUUGACAGCAAGAUGAGCGGUUGUGCAAGCAUGUCGGGCGUUGUGCAUUUGCCUGUCAAAUCAAUGCUCAAGCCAUUAAUUGGCGACUAUAACUACGCACUCGCGGCUUAAUCCCUAAGGGAAAGAGCUUAAUUCCAGUUCUGCUAGGCGGGACGGAACGAGUAUCCCGCGCAAUUGUAAGUCCUACGCUUUUGCCAGUAUGGGGUAUCAUUUGCAAGGACUAAUUCUAUCAAUGGUUCGAUGGUAGAGUGAAAUUUAGAACCUAAGUUGAAAGUAGGGUGUUUGUGUCCGGCUUUUGGUCGAAAAUCAACCACAAACUAAGCAUGUAGAAACCAUAACGGUUCCUUGUUUGGACGAGGGUUCGAAUCCCUCCGGCUCCACUA